rnacentral:rRNA from 1 species
UUAUUGCACAAUGGGGGAAACCCUGAUGCAGCGACGCUGCGUGGGCGAAGAAGUAUUUCGGUAUGUAAAGCCCUAUCAGCAGGGAAGAAGAAAUGACGGUACCUGAGUAAGAAGCACCGGCUAAAUACGUGCCAGCAGCCGCGGUAAUACGUAUGGUGCAAGCGUUAUCCGGAUUUACUGGGUGUACAGGGAGCGCAGGCGGCACGGCAAGCCUGAUGUGAAAGCCCGCGGCCCAACCGCGGGACUGCAUUGGGAACUACCGGGCUGGAGUGCCGGAGAGGUAGGCGGAGUUCCUAGUGUAGCGGUGAAAUGCGUAGAUAUUAGGAGGAACACCAGUGGCGAAGGCGGCCUACUGGACGGUGACUGACGCUGAGGCUCGAAAGCGUGGGGAGCAAACAGG